rnacentral:rRNA from 1 species
UACAGAGGGGGCAAGCGUUUAUUCGGAAUUAUUGGGCGUAAAGGGCGCGUAGGCGGCUUUGCAAGUGACGGGUGAAAUCCCUCGGCUUAACCGAGGAACUGCCUGUCAGACUGCAUGGCUUGAGACCGGGAGAGGUGAGUGGAAUUCCCAGUGUAGCGGUGAAAUGCGUAGAGAGUGGGGGAGAACACUCGUGGCGAAGGCGGCCAGCUAGACCAGUUCUGACACUGGAGGCGACGACAGCGUGGGGAGCAAACAGG